AAAAAAAGAAAAGAAAAGAGGGAGAGCAAAAUGCUGUGGAUCAUUGCGGCAACAACGGCAAUUUUUUGCCGCAUAGUGCAAUUUUUAUACUAUUCACUAUGCAUUACAGCCAUUACUACUUUGGUACUUGAAUUCAGAUGUUGAUCAAACCAUGCGUAAAUCACUAUUUUAGUCUCAGUUUUCUUUGAAAAUAAACCACUAAAGAAAUACAUAGACAUGUUUCUAGCUUGUCAAAAAUCCAAAGUAACAAUAAAAUUAAAGUUUUAUUACAGUAAUUUGAAAAAUGCUGUGGAAACUGCCAAAAAUGCCGUAGACAGCUGUUACGUUCUACGGCAAUUUUUUAAAGCCAUUGCCGUCGAUUGAUUUCAGGGAAAUUUGAGGCCGGACCGUAACCUAUAGGUAUGAAAAUCUCAGCUCACUAUAUUUGUUGGCCUAAAGCCUUGCUGCAAUGUAAACAAUGCAGGGUGCGAUAAUUGAAUAUUUUUAGCC
rnacentral:lncRNA from 1 species